CACCCCUCUUUUUUUCCUAGUGAUUGAUACCAAUUCUACUCCCCACACCCCUACCCUUUCCCCUACCCUUCACACCACCUCCAUCCCCACCCCCCUCUUUCUACCAGCACAUCAAGAACGGCUGCCACAGACUGAUGACUUUCAAUAUGGCUCCGUCUAGCAGGCUGGCGUGUGGGGGUAGGGAGGUCAACAGUAAUUCAUAACUGCUUUAAGAUUGCACGGACCCCCAGCUGCUGUCAGCAGCAUGCCUGCCUGCCUGUUCCCCCCCCCCCCCCAUCCCACUACUCCCCUCCCUACCAGUUGGGCUGGGUUGGUUUGUGUAUGUAAAUGGUGGUUGGGGUGUAGGGCUGUUUGUAUGUGUGUGGGGUGUGGUGUUGGAGGAGGAUGGAGGGUUUCUCUGGCUGUGGCGUAUCCCACCUCGCAUCAAUCAGGCCUUCUGAAUACAUCAGGGGUAUUUUCAUUAUGCCUAGUUAUUUACUACGUCAGGACAAAUUACUCUGGCAAGCCCAAGCCUGGCUGUGCGUUUUUCUUUCUUUCUUUCUCUCUUUCUCUCUUUCCUUUCCUCUCCUCUUCUUUUUCUUUUUCUUCUUUUUGUUUUGUUUUGUUCUGUUCGCUGGGCAGUGUGUGAGAGAUGCAGCCAACUGGGGCUCUGUCUCUGGAAUCUUAUUGUAAACAUUACAGGAUAAAUCUGGCGAUCGAGGCCAUCAAUCUCCCUGCUGGUGCAGACACCCUGCGAAUAUGGGGGGAUUGUUAACGGAGAGUCACAGUUUUUACAUUUCUGUGCCGACUACUCGCUGGACAGAUUGCAGUCCUGCUCUGCUCUCUCUUUAUUGCUCUUUCCCUCCCGCUCUCUCUCUCUUCACAUCCUUUCUUUCUCUACUUUCUCACUUCCUGAUCUUUCUCUUCCUCUCUCAUUUCUUUCAUCUGCUUUUCUCCUCUCUGAGCCUCUCUACCUUUGCAUCUCUUCUCCUCUCCUACUCCUUUAUGUUUCUCUACUUUCUCACUUCCUGUUCUUUCUCUUCCUCCCUCAUUUCUUUCAUCUGCCUCUCCUUCACCCGACUCCCUGCUAUUUUUGCACAGGUUCACAUUUUGCAUUUUUUUUUUUUGCCCCACUAUACAUAACCUAGGGAAAAAAUUGCUUCUAUUGAAGAACAGCAAGCUUUAAGUAUACUGUACAUGCAGCUUUCCUACAGCUGGCGAUCACAAACUUUAUCUGAGCUCAUUUUCCCCUCCGUAAAUAUUGAUUAAACCCAAACGUGGCUGAGGUUGACGAGGAGGGCUGGCUCUCUCUCUCCCUGAGAGUUCUCUG
ensembl:lncRNA